GACGAACGCUGGCGGCGUGCUUAACACAUGCAAGUCGAGCGGUAAGGCCCUUUCGGGGGUACACGAGCGGCGAACGGGUGAGUAACACGUGGGUGACCUGCCCUUAGCUCUGGGAUAAGCCUGGGAAACUGGGUCUAAUACCGGAUAUGACUCCAUGACGCAUGUUGUGGGGUGGAAAGCCUUGUGCGGCUAGGGAUGGGCCCGCGGCCUAUCAGCUUGUUGGUGGGGUGAUGGCCUACCAAGGCGACGACGGGUAGCCGGCCUGAGAGGGCGACCGGCCACACUGGGACUGAGACACGGCCCAGACUCCUACGGGAGGCAGCAGUGGGGAGUCUUGCGCAAUGGGCGAAAGCCUGACGCAGCGACGCCGCGUGAGGGAUGACGGCCU
rnacentral:rRNA from 1 species